GACGAACGCUGGCGGCGUGCUUAACACAUGCAAGUCGAACGGAAAGGCCCUGCUUUUGUGGGGUGCUCGAGUGGCGAACGGGUGAGUAACACGUGAGUAACCUGCCCUUUACCUUGGGAUAACUUCAGGAAACUGGGGCUAAUACCGGAUAGGAGCUCCUGCUGCAUGGUGGUGGUUGGAAAGGUUCGACGGUUGGGGUUGGAGGCGGGGCUUAUUAGCUUGUUGGUGGGGUAGGGGCGUAGCAAGGCGUUGGCGGGGAGCCGGACUGAGAGGGUGACCGGGCCCAUUGGGACUGAGGUACGGGCCAGAGUCCUACGGGAGGCAGCAGUGGGGAAUAUUGCACGAUGGGCCGAGGCCUGAUGCAGCAACGCCGCGUGCGGGAUGACGGUCUUCGGGUUGGAAACCGCGUUCGCCUGGGACGAAGCGUGAGUGACGGUAACGGGUAAAGAAGCACCGGCUAACUACGUG
rnacentral:rRNA from 1 species